rnacentral:rRNA from 1 species
GAUGAACGCUGGCGGCGUGCCUAAUACAUGCAAGUCGAGCGAACAGACGAGGAGCUUGCUCCUCUGACGUUAGCGGCGGACGGGUGAGUAACACGUGUAUAACCUACCUAUAAGACUGGGAUAACUUCGGGAAACCGGAGCUAAUACCGGAUAAUAUAUUGAACCGCAUGGUUCAAUAGUGAAAGACGGUUUUGCUGUCACUUAUAGAUGGAUCCGCGCCGCAUUAGCUAGUUGGUAAGGUAACGGCUUACCAAGGCAACGAUGCGUAGCCGACCGGAGAGGGUGAUAGGCCACACUGGAACUGAGACACGGUCCAGACUCCUACGGGAGGCAGCAGUAGGGAAUCUUCCGCAAUGGGCGAAAGCUUGACGGAGCAACGCCGCGUGAGUGAUGAAGGUCUUCGGAUCGUAAAACUCUGUUAUUAGGGAAGAACAAAUGUGUAAGUAACUAUGCACGUCUUGACGGUACCUAAUCAGAAAGCCCCGGCUAACUACGUG